rnacentral:misc_RNA from 1 species
GAAAAUUGAUUGUGAUCCAAGUAUCUGGAAUACAAUCAAGGUUAGCUUAAAAAAACAAAAGAAACAAAUUUCUGUACAGUAAAACAUCAAAACAUUCCACAGUGAGCAAAAAUGCGCUGAUAUGUGUACUCCCACAUUUUCCCAACUCAAGGGGGCAGGGAGGAGUAAACAAUCCACCAAAUUAAUAGCACAGCAAGCAGAUUUGUUUUUAUUUUGCUAAGAACAGCCAUGGACAUUUUGAUGACCACAUAAAUGCAAGGUCAGAUAUAUAUAUAUAUGAAAGGGAAAAACAAAGAAUAAAAAAUUUGUAUCCUAGAUAUUCUCUAUAAUUUUAAAGAAGAGUGUCAUAUAACCAUGCAACAAUUCAUAUGAAUAUCAAGAACAGAACAUGAUGAUCAGUAAAAUCUCCUCAGAACCCUGGGCACGUAUUCACAUCAAUUUAUGAUGAUGUGAUCAGUUUGUGUAAAAAAUCCCAAACAUCUGCCAUUAAUCAUUAUUGAGUAUCCAAACUAAUGGGCAAAACAGGUUUACCUUAAAUAUUUGAAAGAAAAAGAUUAAAUGAAUCGUA